GAGAGAGGGAAGGAACUCUGUAAUCACUCUCUGAGAUUAGAGCAUAGGGAGACCAGGAUGAUUAAGGAGGAAACCCACAGGAAGAGGAAGCCCUGGGAUCUUUGCUUGAAUAGAGAAAUCUAAGAGGUGGCUAGGAGACAGACAGGCAGUAGCUAAUGGGGUGGACCAGCCUCUGGUUGUGUGCCUUUAAAGAAGGACAGGCACUGGAUUUGCAGGAGGAGAGCUCUGGGAGGUAUUCAAGAAAGAAGCAGUGAGUGAUGAAAGGUCAAGCCUGAGCAGGGCAGGAAUGGGUUUAAGAUUUGGGUAUUAUUGGAGGAUUCCAGGGAGGGGCCCUGAGAGAAGGAUGAAUGUAGCAAGGCUGUGGGGGAGAAGGCCUGGUAAAAAGGCUGCAGUAGGAAGGAGUCCAGGAAGGCCUCAGCCAGGAGUCAAAUGGAGCAAACCUUGGCUGCUGGUUAUAGGGUCCCUGGACUGCAAGCCAGAGUGCAGAUUCCCCUACCAGCCACUCAUAAGAUGUGAGGCCAGAGAAGGGGACUGAGAUGAUGGAGAGUCCUGGGGGAGGGUUAUGAAGACAACGGGUCCCAGAGUGGGGGCCGAGAGGACAUUUCUUAUGACAUUUGGGUUUUCUGUUGGCCCUUUUCACUCCAGAAGUAGUAGACUUAAAUGUGACCUGGACAGAGGACAGUGGGAAAAGACACCACUGGGGACUGGAGUGACCUUCAGCAAGGGGUGCUAGAAAGAAGAUAGCCUGCUACACUAUGCCAGCCAUGAGGAGGCGCUCUAGCGAUGCCACCUGAAGUUUCCAGAACUAGCAGUUUUGAAACAACAAUUUUCCUUUGUAAGUAGUUCCUAGAUGCCUCAACCAAUAUCAGGGCCUCCCUCUGCUAAGUGCUGUACAAAUGCACAGUCAGCCAGCUCCUGCCCAGAAGAGCUCUCAUUCAGACUAGCCAGAGAGGAAAAAGUUGGGAGAAAGGGAUAGACCAAACAAGCAGAAGAUUGGAAGCGGCAACACACAAUGAUAUAAUGACAUGUCCAAGAUCAUAAAGAUUCUGUUGCAGAGCCAGAGGAGAACCUAAAUCUAUCAAGUCUAAUCCAGUGCCAUAAUCAAAAGACCAUUCUGUCUUUCAUGAGAAGAACAAGAAGCCUACACUUUCUUCAUCUUUUUCAGGGCUCUGACAACCCUGUAAUCCCUAAAUCAUUUCCCAUUUAAGCUCCAUCCAUCUGCUAAUGGUACCAUGCUAUGGUACCUAUUAUUCUGUCUAAGGAGAAAUGAGUGAGAUGUAAUUAGAUGUAGGAGUUACUGCUGAGCAUGUCAAAGUACUUACUCCCCAACCAGGGCCCUAAUUUAGGAAAGCACUUUAUCACAUUCCUAACUGUAAAUCUGUGCUUCAAUUCCAUUGAAAUCAAUGGGAUGGAAGCACAGAGUUGCAUUGUUUUCCUGAAGUAGCGCCCAGCUAGGAAGCUAUUGCUUCUGCAGCCCCUCUUCCUCAACUAGCAAAAGACAGGCUUUGCGAUAAUAUUGAAACUUAGGUUUUGAAAUAAUCAACUUUAAAUUACAUUUUAACCAGAAAUUCUUAUGGCUUCAUUGCAACCCAGAUCCCUUUUAUUAAAAGGCAUCUUAUAAAUCCCAGUGUGAGAUCCAUCCAUAUUGUGAAUUAUUAUACACUAAAAAUGUGUUUUAAUCCAAAUGAAACUAACCUUCCUUGAGAGGUUUUUAUUGCCUGCAGUCAGUUCAGUCUGGGCAGAAGAUACAGAACCAUGGAUUUAUGUGCCACUUUGUUUAGACUGACAUAAAUAAUUGGCUUACCUCUGCUUCAAACUAAACAAAAUAUUUGUCUUUUAAAGGUGCCUGGAAAGGAUUUUUUUUAAGUUGAAAAGUUAUUUCUUGCUUCCAUUAAAUACAAUAGUGGCUUUGUGUGCA